rnacentral:misc_RNA from 1 species
GAUGAAGAACGCAGCGAAAUGCGAUAAGUAAUGUGAAUUGCAGAAUUCAGUGAAUCAUCGAAUCUUUGAACGCGCAUUGCGCCCGCCAGUAUACUGGCGGGCAUGCCUGUUCGAGCGUCAUUACAACCCUCAGGCCCCCGGGCCUGGCGUUGGGGAUCGGCGGAAGCCCCCUGCGGGCACAACGCCGUCCCCCAAAUACAGUGGCGGUCCCGCCGCAGCUUCCAUUGCGUAGUAGCUAACACCUCGCAACUGGAGAGCGGCGCGGCCACGCCGUAAAACACCCAACUUCUGAAUGUUGACCUCGAAUCAGGUAGGAAUACCCGCUGAACUUAAGCAUAUCAAUAAGCGGAGGA